GCUGCAUUCUUUCUCCUGGGAAGACUGUUUGCUGAAGGUUCUCUGAGCAUGCAUUCUGAAAGCAAGGAACCUUGGUGAGAAGUGUGCCACUGGAGCCUAGCUGUGCAGGUGGGAAGAACCAGCCAGAAAUGUGCCAGUGCAAGAGGGACUUCCCAUGCACUAUUUAGUGGGCAGAGCUUGCUGCAGCUGAGGAAGUCAUGGAAUCGGCAUCGUGAAGUGAUGGAGGAAUGCAGAAGGCAUCGAGAAUUCAGGAGUACUGAGAUGCAAUGUCCUUCCUACGUAAUUUUCUGAAGAAAAAAAGUUUAAAUAGUUUCCUAUAUUUUGGGAAACUGUGAAACAAAGAUACAAUUAAAAAUCAGAAGUGGAACUGUGUAAAAUACUUCCACUGGCUUGGACAGAAACUGGAUCGUAUCAUGGUCACUGUUUAUGGCAUUCCUAUGACUGAAAUCUGAAAACAGAAUGAAUGAUCUGAAAAACAUCUUUAGAGGGUCUUUGACAUCCUUCAACCUUCUUGAAGUGAUAAACACCAAUAAAACAUGGAUGGAAAGAAAAACUUAGAAUUAUCUCAGGUGUCAUUUCCCUCCAGAUACUGGAACAGUAUUAAAAUCUUACAAAACAAACCUGUCAUUGAGAACUGCACACUUUCAAUAAAAUGCCAUACUGAAAUCUUGUUGAAUAGGAACCUGCAUUCUACCAUCGUCCAUCUGUUAUUUUUCAGGUCACAAAUUUUUAGUAUCCUUACUCUUCAUGAGGUAUUUCUCUCAACUAACUUUUUUAAUGACACAGCAAGAAUUGUGCCAGGAAAGUUUGUGUUCCUUUUGAUGUUCACGUUACUUCAGAAGCAUAUUUGAAACUUAACACUUGAUUUGUAUUAGUGGGCUGUUGUCUUUAACUAAUAACAUUAAUGAGAAAGUAUGAAUGUAUAGCAAAACUGCUUUAACUUUUAUGUAGCGGUGCUUGAAUUUAAU
rnacentral:lncRNA from 1 species